CAUGUUUUUUUCCUGGUAGACCAUUUGGAAGAAAUUAAUUUCCUUGAAAUCAUCAUUUGAAGUGUAUUUACAAUAAAGCCCUGCUAUUCAUGUUACUCUGUCAAAUGUAAAUGGCCUGAGACUUUUAGGAAAGUAUCACCAUAUUGACAGGAUAAUAAUUUGCUAUGAACUGCAUAUUAAAUUAAUCACUUUGCAGAUGUAUCACUGGAGGACACGACAGUCCAGCAAUGCCUGUAUUUAAUUAGCAAGGCUGUUGUCUGUUGAUCAUACUGUUUCUGCAUCUUAAAAAAGUCCUGGACCUCCUUACAUGCUUCUUAGAUGAGUACCAAACUGCAUCCACUGCUCUGCAAGAAUUCAGUGUUUUGAGGAGAAGCAGCAUUCAGAUGGUGAAGUUUGGUUUUUAAGUGAAAUGCAAAAUGAUCCUUAUUAUUGAUUAAAAAAUGAUGGGGGAAUGCUUGAAGAUGGUUUUGCAGUGCCUGGCUGACUGUGUUCCUGUGCAUUUUGCUCUGGGCAGUUCAUGGCUGUGCAGCCGUGGCCCUGAGCUUUGCUCUGGGGCUGAAACUCCCUCCAGCUUUCUCCUCCCAGGGCUGGUGUCACUCAGGGCCUUUCUCCAAGGCUCCUUUGCAAAUCCAGACACUGAUGGAUGCUGCCCAAAGCAGGCAGAUGUUUUGGAGGAACUUCUCUCUGACUUGUGCCUUUUCUUCCCCCAUGCAGCUGAAGGUGGCCAGAGCAGUGGGCAGUUCCAGGGGAGACCUUCUGAAGUGUGGUCACAGUGGCAGAGCCAACACCACAACCAGCAGAGUGGUGACCAGCACUCACACCCACAGCCCAACCAGACCGAGGUGUUCCAGGACAUGCUGCCGAUGCCGGGGGAUCCAACGCAGGGCACUGGCAAUUACAACAUUGAAGAUUUUGCUGACCUGGGCAUGUUUCCACCUUUUUCUGAGUAGCUUGCGAAGCAGAAAUGGAAGUUCUUCUUCUCCAAGGCCAUUUCAGUGUAAUUUUGGCGCUGCUUUUUCUGUGUUGCAUUUCUGUAGAAGCUACUAAACCAGAAGACACAUUUCUCACAUUUCAGAUAGUGGUGUGGGGCUUGCUCUCUCCUCCUUGGGGUGUGUCAGUGCCAACAGAGGAGCUCCAGCACUUGUUAGUGUUCAUUGACAGCUCCAUUGUUAUUUUUUUUUAUUUUAUUGUCAUCUACCUCAGAGAUAAAAAUUUUGCUUGUUUUUAAAGAAAAAUCUCUGAGUCUCAAAUAUUUGAAUGUGAAUGAUGCAUAAUAUUUCCUUUGAAUGGUAAUUUUUCAAUAGAUAACAAAGUAACAAAGACUAACAGAGAAAAGGUAAGGUCAUGUCUAGUGCCUACCGCUCAAUUUUGAUGCCUUGCUUUAAGCUUAAGUUUCUGAAAGCAGACACAAUAUUCUGUUUUCUUUGAUUCUUGUAGGUUUUAGGUCACUUUAAAUGUUGAGAUUAAGCAACAUAAUGUAGGCCUCUCUCACCAGAAGAUUCAGCUCUGCCUUUUCUAACUUAAACUUGAAUGUGUGUACAUUUUGGUACUUUAUGUAUAUCUUGUGCUGUAUGAAGUGAUUUUCUGUACUGGUUUCUUUUGCCUUUACAAAGGGUCCAUUCUGGAGUGUACUGAAAAGGUUGAUGAUGUAUGUGAAGGAUUUGAAUAUCGUGAGAGUCUCCAUCACUUCACAUAGGUGUUCUUAUUUUUAAUUCAGGUGGUUCUCUAUUCAGAACAAACAUUUACUUACAUAAGCUAUUAGUCUGGUUUUGCACUGAAUUGAGGCCUAUAACUUUGUACAUUUCUCACUGGCUGCUUUAAUUAUUAUUGUUCUUGCUUUCCCAAAAAUAUUGCCUCUUAAAAAAUGACUGUAAACACAUCGAGAUUGCAUUUUCUAUAUUAGCUGCAUUUCCUUUCUGUGAAGUACUUUUUUAUACUGUGAAACCUCACAUUUUAACAGUGCAAGGUGGUGGCCUGUUACUAGGAAAUCAUUCAAGCUCAUUUGCUGCAAGCAGUGAGAUGGUUUUGUAGUGUAUGAUUUUUUAGAGUGGGUUGGUAAUAGAUAUUGAUUGGGCUAUUGUCCACUGCAUACACAGUGAUAACUUGAAUUUUUGCUUGGAUUCCCAAGCAAAUGCUUCUGUUAAACCCUGUUAACCCUGUUCCGUUCAAUAUGGGAUUUUCAGCUUACCAAGUUUGUUGAGGACUCUUGACUGCUCUGAAUGCCGUGUGCUUUUCCAGAGAGGUAAGUUAAUCACCUUCCUCUUGGGCAAGUCACCACCCAUGUGUCUUCAUCAGAGAUGUGGUAGGAAUCUUUUUGUUCAGUAUUUCAUGUGCAUGAUGAGUUACAGAGGUUGCAUUGUAAGGAUUUUAUCCUGGUCAUUUCUUCUGGGAUGGGAGGAGAAAGAGUCACUCACAAAGCCCCAAGUUCCUGUGUGCAGGUUGUUCAUAACCUUGGAGGUUGGGUGGAUAGGCAGCCUCUGCAGAGGAGGAAGGGGCAGCUUCCCUCAGCUUUUGGACAUUCAGGGACCUUGAAAGUGCAGCCCCAGGGCACAGCCCCCAUCCAGAAGAUCUCAGUAUGUGCAGCAAUUCUUGAACUUCACAGGAUUAACUCUGCCCUCUCAUAGCCCCUGUCAGAUUCUAGGGUGUCUCUGAGUGGGGACACAGAGCACAUCAGCACAGUCCAUAUUUUUGGGAUAACAUCCUGGAGAGCAGGCAGGCCCUGCCCCACAGCCCCCCUGGCCAUGCAGGUUUCAGGUGAGCAUGGCCCAGCUGGGACAUGGCUGGCACAGAUGGGGCUGUGCCCAUGGACACUGUCCCAGCCUUCUCCCAGAGCAGCAUGUCAUGUUCAGUAGGCAGGAAGAGUCCUUCUUACCAUUCCUUUCAUUAAACCUGGGACCAAUCUCUUACCCUAUGUGCAAGUGGGGCUAGGGAGUCUUUUUUUAGGACAGUUUUGUAUAUCUCUAGAUGAGGUACUGGAGAGGCCUCAGAUCUCCUGGUCUGCACUUGCCUCACCAAAUCACACUUGAGAACAAACAAAAAUCUUCCAAUCUCUCCUUCCCCAGAGAUGAGGAAAAUGCCAUCUUAGGUGAGCAAGCCAUGUGCUUACGCACUGUUCUUUUAAAUACAUGGAUGUUUAUUCUCUUGGAGCCAUCUCCCUUUCCCCUCAUGCUGCUCAAAUAAAUGACUGCUCAUGGAAUUGGAGAGGCAAAGCUUUGCUGCCUCAGAGUAAAGUUCACUGGUGUCUCUAAGAGGUGCCUGGAUGCUGCACCAGUGAGUGAGGUGCUCAGUGGCUGUGCAGGGUUCUGAAACUGCUGCUUACGAGGGAGGGAGCAGUAGCUGAGCAGUUUGUGUCUCUGCACAGGAGAUGCUUGACGUGAUAAAUGUCAGUUCUUCUGAAAUUUUUAUAAAUUUUUCCAUGAAGUGAAUAAUGAAUUCAGUGAAAAAGUGCUGUUCCUGUGUUUUAUUUUACCCAAAAAACUGCUUGAAGUAUAUUUAUAGUUUAUUUUACUUCCUGAAUUCAAUUUUUAAAUAAGGUUUUUAAAGUAAUUUUCUUUCUCCUGACAUCAGCAAUGAUAACUUCCUCAGUGUGUCAUGGGUUUUAUACUACUGGAGAAGGCUUCCCGUGUACAGAUUUUGGUUGUGCAGUUCAGAGUGCACUGUUAGAAGAAAUUUAAGCAUCUCUCUUUUUCUUGUUGUUUUUUUGAAGUCAGUACGCCUGAGGGAUCAGAGCAUGGACAGCUUCUCACCUUGUGGGCUCCUCCUGCCUUUCGGCUGGGAAAGGUGAUGGCUGCACUGUUAGGGGCAGUGUGGAUGGUGCCCAGCUUGGUUUGGGUUUUCCCUGGCAAUUCUUGGCAUUUCCACCCUUGUCCUGCUCCUCUGCCAUUCCUGGCCAUCCCAUCUCCCCCCUAGCCCGGGUGGGAAGUGUUGGGCUGCCAUUCCCGGGCCAGCAAGGAGGGAGCAAUUAAUUAAGGAGGGAGUUUGGCAACUUUGUGCUUUGAGCAAGCAGAGCUGCAGGUGAGGCUUUGCCAGUGCUGCCCUGGCCCCACCGUGCCCGUGCCUGAUGCUCCCAAAAAACCACCCCAGGUCUUGUGGCUGACAGAGCUGUGUCGCCUUGGCUGUGCUGUAUCUUGUGUUUGGUUACUAAAGCAACUUAACUUAUCCUAUAGCUGCAGUUAUAAGGUGCAUUGGGAAUGCCAGUGUUUUUAUUACGUGCUGUCAGUGUAGCUUUGUUGGCACUUCAGCUUGUAAUUUCCAGAAUUUCAUAGGUGGUGGAUUUCUAAUUUCUUUUGUGGGGUUGGUUUUUUAUAAGCUGGAAAUAAAGCUGUGAUUUCUGAUCGAACUGUUGCAAACACAGUGUUUCUUGAAACUGAAUCUUUUGGAUUUUAAACUAAUAGAGCGAGAAACUGCAAAUAGUGAUGAUCUGGGUGAGUUAUUUCAUGGAGCAGACAUGGAGACUGAGACAGUUUUAGCUACUAAAAUAUUUAUAUGCAUCUAUUCAGUCAAACAAUACAAGACUCCAUCACAUUACUUGUACAAAUGCUACUGGCAGUACCUACAGUGAUGCUUUAACCAGAUAGUUCCAUUUGUAGCUUUGUUGCCUUUUCUUUUCUUUUGAAGUACAGUAUGAAACUGUAAAUACUUCUUGCAGAACUGCCUUUUUAACUCUUAAUUACUUUUGGCACAGUGUUAAAUAGUGUUGGAUUUACCCAAUUGCUAUGACAUAUAUUUUUAUACAUAGGUGUACUCUUUUUUCGAGAAUAAUACAGCCAUUUUGUCAUUAAUGCCUUAUCGGUGUCAUACUGCUGUUGCUCUUUGUUUGCAAGGUAUCGAGUGGACUAAUUUCUAGUUCAGAUAUUUUCACUUUUCCUGGCAGUGCUCAAGUUUGGCUUCAGGUGAUUUUUGCCAGAGCCCCAUUUUUCACAGUUGUUAACUGUGAGAAGAAGAGAAUGUGGGCUUGGGCUUGUUGCUGUUAACGGAGCAAAGAAAAGGUGAUGGCAUCUAAUUGUCUUUAAAAGGUCAGUCUUUUCCUACUCUAAACCAGAGUGCAUUUCAUUAAACUGAUGAUUGUGGGCACUGAUUACUUUGUGUAGAUUAAUAGUCUUUAAAAAAGAAAGGGAAAAAAAAAAAAAGGAAACAACUCCAAAAAUGGGUUUCUGUCAUUGUUAGGCACUUGGUUAUCUGUUUAAACUCUUCAUAUUGAUGUGAAAUUGUGCUGUGGAUAAAGUGUAUUUUGUACUUCUGAAUGUUCUAUAUUUAUGACUAACAAGUACAGAAUCAGUUGUGUGUAUGUAUAACUAAUAACUGCCUUUUUAAAUUUCAUUAAAAUAAAAAUGUCAUGAGCUGUUGUUAA